AGCAUCAUUAACGGGGUAUGCAACUCCCGUCUCUUCUUAUUAAUAUCAAUUAAAAAAAAAGAAAAAUAGGUCAAAUAGAAAGAAACGUCGCUUAAUUAGGAGUUAGAAGAGACGGUCUUUUGAGACACGUGUUGACUAAAAAGCGUUCAUCUCUUUCUCUCUUCUCACUCCGUGUCUCUCUCCCUCUCGUCGACCAUUCUCCAAAAUCUCUCGGACAAUACUCGAUGGCGACGAUUCCUCCCCAAUUCUUCAGAGCAAGUCAAAUAUAUUUCUUCUGUGUGUUAGAUUAUGGACGGAGGAGGUGGCGACGGUGGUGGUGCCGCGUACAACCCACACACGGUGGGGGAGGUUUUUAGGGAUUUUAAGGGUCGUAGAAAUGGCAUGAUUAAGGCUCUAACCACUGGUAAUAUUUGGUCAAUCACUCUUCGUUUUGAUUCUUCUUCUUCCUCCAUUGUCGUUAAAAAUCUCAACUUUUUUAUUGUGUGUGUGUGUGUUUGGCUCUGUUUUGCUGAGUGUUGAAUGAUGCAUUAGGGGUUUUGAUAGUUUCUCUGAAUUAUGAGAAAUAAAUGAGUAAAGUUUUGUUUUUUGUUUAUGGGAUUGAUUUCCUCCGAUGAAAGUCUUUGCUUUUUUUGUUUGAGUUGUCUUCCUUGUGCUCUGCUUCUCUGAGUUCUCCUUGAAGGCGGAGUAAAGUUUAGAUUUUUGAAUAUUGAUUUUCAAAAUAAUGUCUUUCUGUGUGAAAUCUAGUUUGGUAGUGUCACAAGUUCUUGAUGAGCAGAAGCUGUGUCAGAUACAAAGAAAGCUAUUGAGUUGGAUCCUGCAUUGGCCAAAGCUUACUUAAGAAAAGGAUGAAUUGGCCACUAGAAGUUGUGGCUUUGUUUCCUCAGCUACUUGGAUACGGCAUGGAGAAGGGAUUGUGCCUAGGUGUAACGUAAUCAAAGCUCUCAUCGCCAAAGGGUUGCUUGGAAGUGAACUCCCUUCGAUUCCAUGUGUCUUGGCAUAUACCAAUGAAGCCUUCUUAAAAAGUCUAAUCGAAGCUAAAUGUGGUUGAGGAUAAAAGAUACCACAAGUCUGAGAGCUGCUCGAAUCGCUAAUGCUUCUGCCAUGAGAGGGAGAAGCUACAUGUUCUUGGAAGAAACAUCCUCUAGCUUAUCCCCGAUGAUGAUUGGUCAGCAAAAAUCCAAUACCAUAUACUCUAAACGUUAGGGCAUAUCUUAAUUGAUGUACCAAUAAAAGUGUAUUACGAGUACGAACUACGGAUCGAUACGUGUCAAGAAAAAAGGUUACUGCUGACGCAAAACAAGAUCUAGUAUUUAUAAAAGUAAAUAUAUUAUAGGUUUAAAGCUGAGCUUUAAAAAGGGGGCCUAAUUUGCCAUAGCAGCACAACUUUUGUUUCUCUCGCAUUUCCUAUUUUUUUAUUUAUGCUCUUUGAGUACGGACUUACAAAAUUUACAGCUAUAAAACGUGAGUUUAUCUUCAA